CUCCUUCUUCUGCAGUUUGUGGGGGCAUGGAGCCAGGACUUGGGCCGGAAGGCAUACAUUCCUCAGUGUUGGGGAGCAGGUAAGAAGGCCCCGGCUGCUCUGAGGGCGGGCAAGACACAACACCGGGUGAGCCAGACCCAGGCGCUUCCCGAAUCCCUGAGUCUCAGAAGCAGCAACCUCACACUCUCCCCUUCUUCACCACUAGCCCCCUUCUUCACACGGGAUCACCCAGCAGCGGGAACAGAGAGGGAGGAGGGGGCGGUGUUCCUGCAUGCUGCAGUUUCUGUGUGCUAAUGCUGCUGUUCCCUUUUUCACACAGGAUCACCAACAGCAGGAAUGGAGAGAGAAAAGGGGGCAGUGACGGCUGCUAGCAUUGAGGGGAGAGUGCUACACACACGCUCCCUUUUCGGCACUCGAAUUGGAGCAGAUGAUUGCAAUUUGCAUAGAAAGAGAUCACGGUACCUUGACAAACAGGCAUCUCAGCAGACCACCGGCCAUCAGAGUCUCAACAUCUUGUCACUUGUCCCAGCUUCUGCCAACCAAGCAGUUUCGAAAGCACAUAAAAAUGCAAGUAGAAAAAAUAGGGACCACCUUGGUGGGAAGGUAACAGCGUUCCGUGCGCCUUUGUCAUAGAGUCAUGCCGGCCACAUGACCACGGAGACGUCUUCAGACAGCACUGGCUCUUCGGCUUUGAAACGGAGAUGAGCACCACCCCCUAGAGUCAGCAACGACUAGCACGUAUGUACGAGGCGAACCUUUACCUUUACCUAUUCUAUAGAAUCAUUGAGCGAGAAAGUGUUGUACUCACAGACAUCAAAAAGUUUUAGCCAUUUUUCAGAAUGGGUUGUUAUUUUGAAUACAGUACAACAAUGAUAAAUUGCCUGUAAUCUGUUUUACAUAUAAUCUGUCUUCCUUUCGCCUCAAAUUUAGCCCAGUUUAAAUCCUACAUCUGUCUGGUCACUUUGUGCUUCUGCUGAAGUAAGCUUGAGCUCACACAAUCAUGUAGCUGUUAAUAAUAUUUUGUUAAUUGGAAAAGGUGCUACCAGACUCCUGUUUUUGCCUUCACAGUUACGCACAUUACAGCCACGUGGCAUGAAACCAAGAAGGAGCAGAAUUCUCCCAUAAGUCACAGGAAGUGGAAUAAGAAACUAUCUUAAUAUAUUUUGUUCAUGUACGUUCAUUUAGUAAACAAUUUCUCCAAUAGAAGAGAAUAUAUGUAGUUGAACUGUGGAAUUCUUUAUAGUCUCUGAGCUUAGUUGUUUGCUUGCAGAUGUUUCCCUCCUACAUUUCAAGCAGUGUAUAGCACUCAAUGUGGUAAGUUCUCUGACCUUCACAAAAUGGUGCAAAUCCUGUCCAAUCUCCUGUGGCCAUACAGUUCACCCUUUUGGAUCCAAUUCUUUUAAAACCCAUGUCACAGGAGAAGAUGCAGCUGGUGUCAUAUGUGAAGUUUCCAUAAGAUUGAGAGCAUUUGAGCUGU